GUCACGCCCGAAGUCGUUACAAGGUAGCCGUACCGGAAGGUGUGGCUGGAUCACCUCCUUU
rnacentral:rRNA from 1 species